GCUGUAAACAAUGCUGUCUCGUUAUUCCACCCCAGAGGCCUAAGUGUUCACGGUCUUGUUUUCCUCCGCGAGCUCGGGAACCGACACCCUGAAUCCUGUCCCCAAGCAGGACUGCUUACAGGUGGCUAGAGAAGGGUCAGUCUUCCGAGCCUCCAAGCUGACAAAGGUGGGACUUCAAAUGUCGAGAAACCUAAGUCUGGUUCUAGAGGUGGCCCCCAGGUGGCUUGCUAAGAAGAAGCAGCAGAUUGCAAAAAUCCGUAGGUGAUGGGGAGUGCGGAGGAUGAAGGCAAGUAAGUUCUGGCGCUUCGCCUUUUGACCCCAACGCAACCUACGCGGAUUCUGGAGCUGAACCGAGUGGAUGACUGUGCGGAGACCCAUCUGGCCAGGGAGCAGACGGCACAGACCUGGAUACUCCUCACCCGACAGGGUCCAUCGGAAGCCGACUGGCCUCGUGGACGACAGCUGGCGCUGGCCCCAGCUCCCUCACUCUGGCUGGAGACUGCCUAGCACUGUCCUGGUCACAUGCAUCCUCUCAGACACAGCACCGAGUCUCCUACAGGUAAAUGUUUCUUGCUCAGUAGCUCCUGAUGGACAUGGUGGAGAGAGAAUUCCCAGACAGCGAGAUUGUUAAAAAAAAAA